UACGUAGGGGGCAAGCGUUGUCCGGAAUCACUGGGCGUAAAGGGCGCGUAGGCGGCCUGAUAAGUAGGGGGUGAAAUCCUGCGGCUUAACCGCAGGGCUGCCUUCUAAACUGUCAGGCUUGAGCACAGUAGAGGCAGGUGGAAUUCCCGGUGUAGCGGUGGAAUGCGUAGAGAUCGGGAAGAACAUCAGUGGAGAAGGCGGCCUGCUGGGCUGUUGCUGACGCUGAGGCGCGACAGCGUGGGGAGCAAACAGG
rnacentral:rRNA from 1 species